AAUUCACUCACCUAAAGGUUAUGGCAAAACCUUAGAGUAUCAAGGAAACUCUUAAGAACCUCUCUAAGCUUUAAGGCUAGUUCGCUUAGGAACCAGUCUUUUACGGGUAGACUCACACCUUAGAGUAUCAAGGGCACUCUUAAGAACCUCUAACUUUUGCGGGUAAGUUAGUACCUUAGAGUAUCAAGGAACUCUUAAAAACCUCUCUAAGCUUUAAGGCUACUUCGCUUAGAAACCAGUCUUUUACGGGUAGACUCACACCUUAGAGUAUCAAGGGCACUCUUAAGAACCUCUAACUUUUACGGGUAAGUUAGUACCUUAGAGUAUCAAGGAACUCUUAAAAACCCUGAAAUCUUUCAAGGUAGACUCGACCUAAGAGUUUUCCCGGAAACUCUAUAAAACCAAACUAGAGCUUUAUGGUUGAGCUCAAAAACCUUCUCUCACACUUUGGUACUAUUGAGACAACCCUCUCAACCAAAGUGGACACACACAAGAGGUGAUUAGAGGAGUGGAAUAUUAAAGCAAACAACACUUCUUACUUGUAAAGAUGAACAAGAAGAUUAGAAGAAGAAGUUGGAGAGCUUUUGAAGCUUUGGAAAGCUAGGACACUUGAGCACUUGAAAGCUUGGAAGCUUGGAGGCAAAAACGUGUGGGCAAGUGUGGAGUGAAAGCUCUUGAGUUUGCUUGUAGUGUGGUAAGUGAAAAUGAGGGGUUUACCCUUCUAUUUAUAGCCUUGGCCACUCAAUGUCCACCCUUGGAUCUUCAAUGGAUGGCUCCUUGAUUUCUCACAUAAAUCCAAGCUUUGUCUUUGAUCUUAUCUUGAAUAGUGCUUUUAUUGGAUAGAGUUUGUUGGAGAAUCUUAUCUUUGUAUAAAUUCAAACUUGAAUAGUGUUUUGUCCCCUUGGAAUAUUAUACCUUGAAUAAAGUGUCAAAAGAUAAUAAUAAUAAUAUUCAAGGUAAAAAUGCAAUUAUUUCAAAUAAUAUUCAAGGUGAAAAUGCAAUUAUUCCAAAUAAUAAUAUUCAAGGUUAAAAUGCAAUUCUCCCAAUUUGACUUUUAACUUUGACUUAAACCCUUAACUCAAAUGAUUAAUUAAUUAACUGGAGUUAGGUUUAAUAUCGAUUGACUUAUUUAAACCCUAUUGAUUAAUAGUGUAAUUAGGGUUUAAAUUGACAUGAUUAAAAUAUAAUCCUAUGUCGACAAUUUUGAUUCUACAUUCUCCCCCUUUGUCGAUGGCAUAUAUGUUUUAACUCAUGUCUAGUCAAUAUUCUAUUUUACCCUUAUGAACAUGCUCCCCCUGAAUUAUUGACCCAUAAUAUUCAAUUUAAAAGCCGUGGAUCAUGCAUGAUUUCUCCCCCUUAAAACAAUAAGAUAUCGACAAAGUUAAAAAUAGAUACCUGUGAAGUAUCUCCCCCUUAAUGAUAGGACAUAUCUAAUUUGUGGAGAAAAUAAAAUUUCAUACCUUAUUGAGCUUUGAUCACAAAUUCGAUUUGUGUGGUUGACCAAAUGUGACGUCUUGCUUAUAAGAGUGUUAGUCAAUCAUAUAGGAGAAAUAACAUGUAAUUUAUGCUCAUUGAUAAAAUAUUAGAUUGAAGCCAAUUUUGAUAUACAUUAUAAGGCAAGUAUGAUAUGAUAAUUUAAAUUGCCUUGUGUUAAGAUCAUGCAAUGAAUAAUAAUCCAUGUGUAUGUUAUGGAUGAAGAUGAUCUUAACAUGUAUGGAUUAAAGAUUUUAUAAUGUUGUAAUCCAUAAGAUAUUAGUGAAUGAUAUGUAUAAAUCCAUAAUAUUCACUAAUUGCUUUAAGAAGAAAUUGAGCAUUUAAAAUUUUAAAAUCUAUGUCUUAGUGACAAAUAUAAUCAUGUAAAUAUUCACUAAGUUUUAAAAGAUUUAAAAUUUUCAUUUCAGUCCUUAAAGCCUUAGUAGUAAAACUUCACUUAAAACAAAAUUUCAUUUAAGCCCUUUGAAGUUAUGAUAAAUACUUAUAUUAAUACUUGAAAUAUUUCAUUUAAACCUUGGUAGUAUUAACUAUUUCUAAGCACUUUUUAAUUUGAAAACUUCAUGUAAAUAUUAAUUUUAAAUCCCUGAAGUUUUAACUAGAUAUUUAUUCACUGUAAAGAUAUCAUUUUGACCCUUAAGUUUUAGUGAAUCUAUUUAAAACUUAAAAACUUCAUAAACGAUUUAUGUCUAAGUCCUUGAAGUUUCACAUAACUCUAUAUUCACUGGAAAAAAUAUCAUCUUAAUCCUUAAGUUUCAGUGAAUCAUUUUAAACUUAGAAACUUCAAAAAUAAUUUAUGUUUUAGUUUCCAAGAAUUUCUUGGUUUGACUAAGCCAUGAAAAAUCGUUUUAUCUUGUAGUCUCCUUCUCAAAAGAGAGUUCUUUGAUUUCCCAUGUACUGACAUGACUUGUUAGGUUUAACAAGUAAUGAGAUUUUGAAACUAUCAUCUAAGAGCUAGCUAGGAUCUUAGCAAGGCUUGUAUUUUAGUAGCUUGUAUCCAGAAUAAUAUUUAAUUUAAAACAUACUUUUUGGUGGUCUUCAACGCAUUCUUUGCACUAUGCACGAUAGUCCAUGCUCCUAGCUGUCGUGAGUGACUAGUUGCGACAGGUUUUCUGGAUGAAGUUGCAGCAUCGAGGUUGCAGAAUGUGCAGACGACGAUUCUCAAUGCCAUGAGGUAAGGUUUGAAUUACCAAUACCAUGUGAUGCUGAUUUUGCUCAAAGUAGGAAAUAGUCUCAUGUAGUAUGUGUGCAACAUAGAAUUAAUCUUAUAAUUUUCUCAAUUAUAUGUAUGUGAUGACAUGGAAUAUGCAUGAUUUAAAUAGUUAUAUACAUAAGUCAAAAUUAGCUGUUUUGAUCAUCAUGUAUUUAAGUAUUUCAUAUCAUUAUGCAUGUAUAUAAUUCAUAGAUUCAUGCAUGUCAUAAGAUUCAUAAAUAAAUAUUAGCAUGCAUGUAUAAGAUAAUAAUAGUAUCAUGCUAAACUCAAACCAUGUAUCUUAUAUUUUUAAAGACCACAUACGUGUACAUGCAUAAUAUUGCAAUAUUUACUUUGCCAGACAUGCAUUUAUCAGAUAGUUAUUUGAAUCAUGUAGUUUCUAGUAGCAUGGUGAACAUGUAGGCAUGUAUUAACAUGAUUCUAUUGAUAUAUAUGAUAGUCAUAUAGUCAAGUUAAGCUCUUCAUUUUAUGCAUGCAUAUGAUGAAUUAUAUGUAUAUACUUAGUCAUGUAAAUCUUAGAUUUGUAAAUUUAUGCAUACGUAUAUUUAUUUUAAUGUGAUUAUGAUCAAGGUUAUAAGUAUAAAGAUAUUCAGGUAAAGAAUACUAAAGCUUGAGAUGCAUUCACUCAUAACUAAUCAAAUUUCACUAAGCUCACAUAUACCCAUAGAUCUUCUGAUUUUUGAAUGAACUUCUUGAUCUAAGGGUUUAGUGAAGAUGUCAGCCAUUUGAUCUUCAGUAGAAAUAUAUUCUAGGCAUAUAUUUUUCUUUUCUACAUGAUCACUAAGGAAAUGAUGUCUGACAUCAAUGUGUUUAGAUCUUGAAUGUAACACAGAGUUUUUUGAUAAACAAAUUGCACUCUUGUUGUCACAUUUAAGAGCUACUGUUUCUAAAGCUAUAUCGUAGUCGGAUAAUGUUUGUUUCAUCCACAAAAUUUGAGUGCAUGCAUUAGAUGCUGCCAUAUAUAUAUUCUGCUUCAGUUGUGGAUAAAGCAAUACUAUUUUGCAUUUUACAUGACCAUGCUACGAGUGAGCUUCCCAACAGAAAGCAUGUUUCACUAGUGCUUUUUCUGUCAGUCUUACAUCCACCAAAGUCAGCAUCACAGUAUGCUGUCAGUGUGAAUGAAUUGUCCUUAGGGUAGAAUAAUCCAAGUGUAAUUGUUCCUUUGAUAUACCUGAUUAUUCAUUUAACCGCUUUGAGACGUGACUCUUUUGGGUCUGAUUAGAAUCUGGCACAUAAGCAGACUGCAAACAUGAUGUCUGGUCUGCUGGCUGUUAGGUAUAGCAGUGAUCCAAUCAUUCCUCUGUAUUUCUUAAUGUCUACUGAUUGACCUUCAACAUCUUUAUCCAAUUUAAGUGUUGAACUCAUCGGAGUUGGCAUAGAUUUAGAUUCAGCCAAGUCAAAUUUCUUUAUCAAUUCCAUAGCAUAUUUGACUUGACUUAGGAAUAUUCCAUUCUCCUUCUGUUUGACUUGUAGACCUAAGAAAAAAGUCAACUCUCCCAUCAUACUCAUUUCAAAUUCGUCUUCCAUUUGUUUGGAAAAUUUCUUACAUAGAGUAUCAUCGGUUGAUCCAAAUAUAAUGUCAUCAACAUAGAUUUGAAUUAGAAUAAUGUCACUUUUGACAUUUUUAAUGAACAAUGUAUUAUCUAUACUCCCCAUUCUAAAUUCCUGAGAAAUGAGAAAGUUUCUUAGUCUUUCAUACCAAGCUCGGGGUGCUUGUUUCAGACCAUAGAGGGCUUUCUUAAGUUUAAGGACAUGAUCAGGGUUUUUGUAAUCUUCGAAACCGGGGGGUUGUCUAACAUAUACUUGUUCAUUGACUAUUCCAUUCAAGAAUGCACUCUUUACAUCCAUUUGAUAUAAUUUGAAAUCUUUGUAACAUGCAAAGGAUAGGAGCAUUCUGAUAGACUCUAGUCUAGCUACUGGUGCAAAUGUUUCAUCAUAAUCAAUUCCUUCUUGUUGAUUGUAUCCUUGCGCAACCAGUCUAGCUUUGUUUCUGAUUAUAGUUCCAUCUUCAUCCAGCUUGUUUCUGAAUACCCAUCUUGUCCCAAUGAUUGAUGUAUCUUUUGGUUUUGGAACUAGUUCCCAUACAUCAUUUCUCUCAAAUUGGUUGAGUUCUUCUUGCAUAGCUUGAAUCCAGUAGUUGUCGUCGAGGGCUUCAUCAACUUUCUUGGGCUCAAUUUGAGAGACAAAACAGUCAAGAACACUGUUUCCUUGAAUGGAUGAUCUGGUUUUAACACCAGCUUGAUGGUCACCAAUGAUUUGAUCAGUGGAAUGUGGGUUCCUGAGCAACCUGUUGGAUGGAGGCUCAAAGACUUCGAUUUCGACAUUGGUAGUUUCUUCAGUUGGAAUGAUGAUUUCUGGUUCUGGAACUAUUUCAUCUUCUUCUACAAUGGUUGUCUGAGUGGAUUCAUCAAAGCCAACGUGUAAUGAUUCGAUCAUUAUUUGUUUUUCUUUGAGAAGAAUUUUGUAGACUUUGCUCCUUCUAGAGUAUCCUACCAGGAUACCUUCAUCAAAUUUCUGAGCAAAUUUGUCUUGGUUGCCUCUUGUUCGGAGAACUAACAUUUGCAUCCAAAGACCUUGAAGUAUGAGACUUUUGUCUUUCUUCCAUUCCAGAUCUCAUAUGGAGUUUUGUUAAAGGUUUUUCUAAUAAUCACCUUGUUUAAUAUAUAACAGGCUGUGUUAACAGCUUCUGCCCAGAGAUACUGUGGUGAAUCAUGUUCUUGUAACAUGGAUCUACUCAUCUCUUGUAGAGUUCUGUUUUUCCUUUCAACAACUCCAUUCUGAGGGGGUGCUUGGGGAAAAGCAAAUUCAUGUUUUAUUCCAUGAGUUUUGCAAAAUUUUUCAAACUCAGAGUUCUCGAAUUCUCCUCCAUGAUCACUUCUGAUUCUUUUUAUGAGAACAUCCUUCUCAUUUUGUACACGUGUACAAAAUGAUGAGAACUCGUUGAAUGAGUCACUUUUAUUUCGUAAGAAGAAAACCCAAGUAAAUCUUGAGUAAUCAUCUACUAUUACAUACGUAAACCUUUUACCGCCAAGACUUUGGGUUUGGGUUGGCCCAAAUAAGUCCAUGUGUAAAAGUUCCAAAGGUCUGGACGUAGUAAUAUCUGUAAGGGAUUUGAAUGAGCUUUUAUGCUGUUUCCCCUUUUGACAAACAUCACAAAGAUUACUUUUCUCAUAUGCUAUUUUAGGCAGUCUAGUCACCAGUUCUUCUUUUGAUAGUUUGGAUAAUCGAGAAUAACUGAUGUGACCUAACCUUCUAUGCCAUAAUGUCUUUUCAUCACUUGCUGCAAUCAUGCAGAAGUCAUGAGUUGGCUUGGAGGGAUUAAAGGUUAUGGAAUAAGCAUUGUUUUUCCUAUAUCCUUUAGCAAUUAUAACUCCCUUGGAGUUAAUGAUUGAGCAUAAAUGUUUUUCAAAUUUAACUGUGCAAUCAUUAUCAUAUAAUUGGCUUAUGCUGAUAAGAUUAUGUUUAAGGCCAUUAACUAAGUAAACAUCUCUAAGAAAUGGUCUAUCUAUAUUACCUAUAUUACCCCUACCUAUAAUGGUACCUUCGUUGUUAUCGGCGAACUUGACCUUCUUAGUAGUAGGCCAGUCGGUCAAGUCUGUCAGUAGACUUGAAUUUCCAGUCAUGUGCCUUGUGCAUCCACUGUUGAACAGCCAUUUUGACACAUGUUUUUCCUGAAAGAGUUGAAUAACCUUUUGGUACCUAUACUGAGUUGGGUCCAGAUGAAUUAACAUAGUUGAUUUGCUUAUAAUUUUUUAACUCAUUCUUGGUCAUCCAUUUUUGUUUUGGAUGAUUCAUCUUCGAUAGAUCUUUCUUUUUUUUAAGAUGAAUAGGUUUUCUGUAGCUAGAUUCUCUUACAAAAUAAUCAUUAUAUGUUAAAGCAUGUAAAGGUUUUUUAAUAGGUGUAUUUGAUUCAAACCCUAAGCCAAAUUUCUUUUAACCUGAGCUUGAACCUUGCAACAUGUCAUUUAGCUUAGAUGAACUAUUUAAGAAUUUUUCAAGAACAUUAUUCUUCUGACCUAUUCUUUUGAUUUGUAAUUGCAUAUCAUUACAUUUUUCAGAUAAUUAUUGUAUAGUUUGUACAUGCUCAAGUAUGAUUUUGUCCUUAAAUUCUAUUUCUGUUUUGAGCAUAAUUGUUUCUUUUUCUUUUAACAUAAUAUCUUCUUCAAAAUUAUCUAUUUUUAAUUCUAGCAAUUCAAUCUUAUCAUCAUCCAUUUCCUUAGAUUGAUUUUCUUCAGAUUCUAAAAUGUUAAGCAAUUCAAAGUUUUGACUCUUAAGUAUCUUAAUUUUUUCUUCAUCUUUGUUUAAUUUACUUGUGAGUUUUAGAUUUCUUUCUUUCAAUUGCAUGCAUUCUUUUUGUGAUUCUUCUAAUUCAAUAGAUUGAUCUAUAUGUGAUUUAUUCAUGCAUUCUAGUUUUAAUGACUUAGUUAAUUUGUUCUCAUUUUUAUAUUUUCCCAUUAAUUCUAGAUAUGCUUCUUCUAAAGAAUUAAAUCUAGUAUUUGCAAAACUCACCUCAGAGUUGCUUUCAUGAGCCAUGAGACAAUCUUCUUGAUCCGAGUCGGAGUCUGUCCAUUGUGCUUGAUUUGCUCUUUCUUUCUUUAGCAGAGGACAUUCUGGUUUGAUGUGUCCAGACUUGUCGCAUAGACAACAGGUUGGUUCUUUUGACUCCUUGCUCAUUCUUCCGUCGAACUUCUGAUGACUUGAUCUUGAGUCUUUCUUCUCUUUCCUCUUUUUCUGAUAUCUUCUCAGAUGAUUUGUGAUCAUUCCUAGAUCAUCUUCUGAUGUUUCAUUGUCAGAUUGACUUUUAAAAGCAAUAUCCUUUUUCUCUUCUUUAGCUCUAGAGAUGAAUCUUUCUUCUUCAUAGGCCAUCAGAUUUCCACAGAGUUUCACAACUGUAAGUUUAUUGAGAUCAUGAACCUCUUGGAUAGCAUUCCUUUUGGAGUAGUACUUGUUUGGAAGGCUCCUCAGAAUUUUGCUUACUUGCUUCUUCUCAGUUAUUAGAUCUCCUAGUCCAGCUAGAUCAUUAACUAUUUGUGAUAGUCUAAUGUUCAUCUCUGCGAUAGUCUCGUCUUCCCUCAUAGAGAAUCUUUCGAACUGAGAGGUAGCAUGUAACAGCUUGUUUUCUUUAACAUGGGAGGUUCCUUCAUGUAUAUCCUCCAAUGCUUUCCAUACCUUGUGAGCUGUAUCCAAGCAUCGAAUUCUGCUGUACUCAGAUUCAUUGAGUGCUCCAUAUAGAGCAUUCAAUGCUCUUGAGUUGUUGUUUUCCUUGAGAAUGUCCAUUUCUCCCCAAGUCUCUUCAUUGCUUGUUGGAAUUUCAUAAUCCUCUAAUAUGAUCUUCCAUACUCCAUUGUUGAUUGACUUCAAGUAUAACUUCAUCUUGUUCUUCCAGAAGUCAUACUUUACUCCAUCGAACCUGGGAGGUUUGUUUGACGCAAGACCAGUGUUGAAUUCACCAUUUGGUGCCAUAAUUGUUGUUGUAAGAUGUUAGUCAAACUUCAACGGUACUUGGCUCUGAUACCACUUGUUGGAUCGAGAUCCGAGGCUAUAAGGGGGGAUAAUAGUCUCUUUUCGAUUUAUGCAAGUUAAUAGCGGAAUUACCUGCACACAUUUAAGUACACAAAUGGUUGUAUAAUAAUAGUAUAAUAUUGUUAGCAAUAUAAUACUGGUUCACCCAAACAAGGGCUAGUCCAGUCCCGACCAACUGUCGGAAUUCACUCGCCUAAAGGUUAUGACAAACCUUAGAGUAUCAAGGAAACUCUUAAGAACCUCUCUAAGCUUUAAGGCUACUUCGCUUAGGAACCAGUCUUUUACGGGUAGACUCACAUCUUAGAGUAUCAAGGGCACUCUUAAGAACCUCUAACUUUUGCGGGUAAGUUAGUACCUUAGAGUAUCAAGGAACUCUUAAAAACCUCUCUAAGCUUUAAGGCUACUUCGUUUAGGAACCAGUCUUUUACGGGUAGACUCACACCUUAGAGUAUCAAGGGCACUCUUAAGAACCUCUAACUUUUACGGGUAAGUUAGUACCUUAGAGUAUCAAGGAACUCUUAAAAACCUCUUAAAUCUUUCAAGGUAGACUCGACCUAAGAGUUUUCUCGGAAACUCUAUAAAACCAAACUAGAGCUUUAUGGUUGAGCUCAAAAACCUUCUCUCACACUUUGGUACUAUUGAGACAACCCUCUCAACCAAAGUGGACACACACAAGAGGUGAUUAGAGGAGUGGAAUAUUAAAGCAAACAACACUUCUUACUUGUAAAGAUGAACAAGAAGAUUAGAAGAAGAAGUUGGAGAGCUUUUCAAGCUUUGGAAAGCUAGGACACUUGAGCACUUGAAAGCUUGGAAGCUUGGAGGCAAAAACGUGUGGGCAAGUGUGGAGUGAAAGUUCUUG
rnacentral:lncRNA from 1 species